rnacentral:rRNA from 1 species
GACGAACGCUGGCGGCGUGCUUAACACAUGCAAGUCGAACGGUGACGAGGAGCUUGCUCCUCCGAUCAGUGGCGAACGGGUGAGUAACACGUGAGCAACCUGCCCCAGACUCUGGGAUAACAGUUGGAAACAGCUGCUAAUACCGGAUACGAGACGGAGAGGCAUCUCUACCGUCUGGAAAGUUUUCGGUCUGGGAUGGACUCGCGGCCUAUCAGCUAGUUGGUGAGGUAAUGGCUCACCAAGGCGACGACGGGUAGCCGGCCUGAGAGGGUGAACGGCCACACUGGAACUGAGACACGGUCCAGACUCCUACGGGAGGCAGCAGUGGGGGAAUAUUGCACAAUGGGCGAAAGCCUGAUGCAGCGACGCCGCGUGAGUGAAGAAGGUUCUCGGAUCGUAAAACUCUGUCCUUGGUGAAGAAAAAU